UGGUUGUUGAUAGAGUUUGUGGCU
rnacentral:siRNA from 1 species